rnacentral:piRNA from 1 species
UUGGUCAUUUGCUGCUUAAUAUGUGGGCCUU